GAUGAACGCUGGCGGCGUGCCUAAUACAUGCAAGUCGAGCGAACAGACGAGGAGCUUGCUCCUCUGACGUUAGCGGCGGACGGGUGAGUAACACGUGGAUAACCUACCUAUAAGACUGGGAUAACUUCGGGAAACCGGAGCUAAUACCGGAUAAUAUAUUGAACCGCAUGGUUCAAUAGUGAAAGACGGUUUUGCUGUCACUUAUAGAUGGAUCCGCGCCGCAUUAGCUAGUUGGUAAGGUAACGGCUUACCAAGGCAACGAUGCGUAGCCGACCUGAGAGGGUGAUCGGCCACACUGGAACUGAGACACGGUCCAGACUCCGACGGGAGGCAGCAGUAGGGAAUCUUCCGCAAUGGGCGAAAGCCUGACGGAGCAACGCCGCGUGAGUGAUGAAGGUCUUCGGAUCGUAAAACUCUGUUAUUAGGGAAGAACAAAUGUGUAAGUAACGAUGCACGUCUGGACGGUACCUAAGCAGAAAGCCACGGCUAAUUACGU
rnacentral:rRNA from 1 species